rnacentral:rRNA from 1 species
UACGUAGGGUGCGAGCGUUGUCCGGAAUUACUGGGCGUAAAGAGCUCGUAGGUGGUUUGUCGCGUUGUUCGUGAAAACUCACAGCUUAACUGUGGGCGUGCGGGCGAUACGGGCAGGCUGGAGUACUGCAGGGGAGACUGGAAUUCCUGGUGUAGCGGUGGAAUGCGCAGAUAUCAGGAGGAACACCGGUGGCGAAGGCGGGUCUCUGGGCCGAUACUGACGCUGAGGAGCGAAAGCGUGGGGAGCGAACAGG